AACUGUGUGAAUUAAUGUGAAUCGCAGAC
rnacentral:rRNA from 1 species